rnacentral:rRNA from 1 species
GAUGAACGCUGGCGGCGUGCCUAAUACAUGCAAGUCGAGCGAACGGACGAGAAGCUUGCUUCUCUGAUGUUAGCGGCGGACGGGUGAGUAACACGUGGAUAACCUACCUAUAAGACUGGGAUAACUUCGGGAAACCGGAGCUAAUACCGGAUGAUAUUUUGAACCGCAUGGUUCAAAAGUGAAAGACGGUCUUGCUGUCACUUAUAGAUGGAUCCGCGCUGCAUUAGCUAGUUGGUAAGGUAACGGCUUACCAAGGCAACGAUGCAUAGCCGACCUGAGAGGGUGAUCGGCCACACGGGAACUGAGACACGGUCCAGACUCCUACGGGAGGCAGCAGUAGGGAAUCGUCCGCAAUGGGCGAAAGCCUGACGGAGCAACGCCGCGUGAGUGAUGAAGGUCUUCGGAUCGUAAAACUCUGUUAUUAGGGAAGAACAUAUGUGUAAGUAACUGUGCACAUCUUGACGGUACCUAAUCAGAAAGCCACGGCUAACUACGUG